CGGCGGACGGGUGAGUAAUGCCUAUGAAUCUGCCUGGUAGUGGGGGACAGCGUCUCGAAAGGGACGCUAAUACCGCAUACGUCCUACGGGAGAAGGCAGGGGACCUUCGGGCCUUGCGCUAUCAGAUGAGCCUAGGUCGGAUUAGCUAGUUGGUGAGGUAAUGGCUCACCAAGGCGACGAUCCGUAACUGGUCUGAGAGGAUGAUCAGUCACACUGGAACUGAGACACGGUCCAGACUCCUACGGGAGGCAGCAGUGGGGAAUAUUGGACAAUGGGCGAAAGCCUGAUCCAGCCAUGCCGCGUGUGUGAAGAAGGUCUUCGGAUUGUAAAGCACUUUAAGUUGGGAGGAAGGGCAUUAACCUAAUACGUUGAUGUUUUGACGUUACCGACAGAAUAAGCACCGGCUAACUCUGUGCCAGCAGCCGCGGUAAUACAGAGGGUGCAAGCGUUAAUCGGAAUUACUGGGCGUAAAGCGCGCGUAUGUGGUUUG
rnacentral:rRNA from 1 species